GACAGAGGUCCCGAGCGUUAGGCGGGAUCACUGGGCUUAAAGCGUGUGUAGGCGGCGGCCUAAGUACCUUGUGAAAUCCCACGGCUCACCCGUGGAACUGCUCGGUAUACUGGGUCGCUUGAGCCACUUAGGGGCUACCGGAACAAAUGGUGGAGCGGUGAAAUGCGUAGAUAUCAUUUGGAACGCCAAUGGUGAAAACAGGUAGCUGGGAGUGUGCUGACGCUGAGACACGAAAGCCAGGGGAGCAAACGGG
rnacentral:rRNA from 1 species